rnacentral:rRNA from 1 species
CUUAGCGGCGGACGGGUGAGUAACGCGUGGGUAACCUGCCUUACACUGGGGGAUAACAGUUAGAAAUGACUGCUAAUACCGCAUAAGCGCACAGGGCCGCAUGGCCUGGUGUGAAAAACUCCGGUGGUGUAAGAUGGACCCGCGUCUGAUUAGGUAGUUGGUGGGGUAACGGCCCACCAAGCCGACGAUCAGUAGCCGACCUGAGAGGGUGACCGGCCACAUUGGGACUGAGACACGGCCCAA